rnacentral:rRNA from 1 species
UACGUAGGGUGCAAGCGUUUGUCCGGAAUUAUUGGGCGUAAAGAGCUCGUAGGCGUCUGUCACGUCGGCUGUGAAAUCCCGAGGCUCAACCUCGGGUCUGCGGUCGAUACGGGCAUCACUGGAGUUCGGCAGGGGAGACUGGAAUUCCUGGUGUAGCGGUGAAAUGCGCAGAUAUCAGGAGGAACACCAAUGGCGAAGGCAGCACUCUGGGACGUGACUGACGCUGAGACGCGAAAGCGUGGGUAGCAAACAGG